UGUAACACGCUGACAUUCUAGGCAAAGCUUUUCCUGUGUAUAUGUGCAGUUCUGGGGAAAAGUCAGGCCAUGAUUUUCCCCACUUAAAAAAAAAAUAUCUUCAUAACCCUGAAUAACUGAGAUGCAUUAAUACAGAGGCAGAAGAUUCAGAAAUAAACAAAAUCCUCAUCGGUAGAACCAGCUUCUCUACAAAAUGAAAAUCUGAGCAGCAGCUUGAGCUCACAUCCCAGACAUAAGUUGAUUCUGUGAGUUAUUAACUGUGUGAUUUCAGCUAAUCACUCAACCUCUCUGGUUCCUUUUCUGUAAGAAUGCCUACUUAGAUUUUAUUUUUUUGGGUGGCGGGGGAGAGUGAGUGAGGCUUAAAAUAAAAUAACAUAAACAAAUGACUACCAUAUCCUAGGGAAUUCUAUAUCACAGUUAAUUAUUUUUACUAUUAUUAUUACUGAUAUGCCGGGUUACCCAGGGGACAGAGACUUUCUGACUGAGUUUUUUUGGCAACAAUAUUUAGAGAAAAAACAGAGUCUGGCUGGAGACCUCUGCCUCCCAGUGUUCUGUUCCUGGCUGGUGUCUGUCUUUACCUUGAACUGCCCUAAGAUGAGAAUUUCUUGUAAACGUGACUUAAUUAUUCAUCUGCAUCCUUUUACCAUCUGGAUCUGCUUCCCCCUGUGCACAGGGUAGCCCUGCUUCUCAGAAAGAACUAGAAUGAGCCUAUUGGUCUGCUCUCCUGAAGGGCAGGAUCCCCCGGUCCCCGAAGGGAGGGCAGUUCAGCUCCUAGAUUUCAAGUCCCUCUGCUCACAUGCACCCACGGCCCCCAGUGGGCUUGUGCAGGGACCUGUCGGGGCUGGAUGAGGGUUUUUAGCUAAGGGCGAUUUGGGCAGAAUGCAGUUAUGUCUGGGAAAGAAACCGAUGGGGUCAGCAGGAAGAGUAUUAAACUAGCUGAAAAUGAAUGGGAAACUCCAGUCCCACACACUGGAGAAACAAGCAAGUUCUUCUACCAAAGGGCCUUGGAAAAUCUCAGUGCUCAGGAGGGCCUCUACCCCUGGAGACUUGUUAUUCUGUCUUAGUCAGCUUUUUUUCACCUCUGUGACCGAAAGACCCUAUAAGAACAACUUGAGAGGAGGAAAAGUUUAUUUGGCACUCAACCGUUUCAGAGGUCUCAGUUCCUAGUCGGCCGACUCUAUUACUGUGAGCCAGAGGUGGAAGGGUGUGGAGGAAGAAAAGAGCUCAGGACACGGCCAUCAGGAAGUCGAGGGACAAAAUAUAGACCCCCAAAGCACCCCCCACCACUGACCUCCCUCCUCCAGCCACUCCUACCUGCCUACAGUUACCACCCCUGAAUCCAUACAAGUGGACUAAUUCACGGACAGCUUUCAGCUCUCAUAACCCCAUACUUUCAACUCUAAACUUUCUUGCUUUCUCUUACUCAUGAACUUCUGGAGGACACCUCAUAGCUAAGCCAUUACACAGAGCAAAUGUCACCUCUUUCCCAGAGCCUUGAUAGGAUGAUAGGAUGGAAAUGGCUUCCUCUGUCCUGCAUAGGCCAGAACAUGCGUGCUGCAGCCCUCCUUCCCCCGGAGAUGGCUCAGAUGCUUCUCUUCUGUUGGAGAGUGGCCUGUGCUUGCCGGACACCUGGCACUGGUCAGAGUUCCUAAGAAGCCCCCUGUAAGUAGACAUAAGAGAGAG
rnacentral:lncRNA from 1 species